rnacentral:rRNA from 1 species
CCUGAAACCGUGUACGUACAAGCAGUGGGAGCACGCUUAGGCGUGUGACUGCGUACCUUUUGUAUAAUGGGUCAGCGACUUAUAUUCUGUAGCAAGGUUAACCGAAUAGGGGAGCCGAAGGGAAACCGAGUCUUAACUGGGCGUUAAGUUGCAGGGUAUAGACCCGAAACCCGGUGAUCUAGCCAUGGGCAGGUUGAAGGUUGGGUAACACUAACUGGAGGACCGAACCGACUAAUGUUGAAAAAUUAGCGGAUGACUUGUGGCUGGGGGUGAAAGGCCAAUCAAACCGGGAGAUAGCUGGUUCUCCCCGAAAGCUAUUUAGGUAGCGCCUUGUGAAUUCAUCUCCGGGGGUAGAGCACUGUUUCGGCAAGGGGGUCAUCCCGACUUACCAACCCGAUGCAAACUGCGAAUACCGGAGAAUGUUAUCACGGGAGACACACGGCGGGUGCUAACGUCCGUCGUGAAGAGGGAAACAACCCAGACCGCCAGCUAAGGUCCCAAAGUCAUGGUUAAGUGGGAAACGAUGUGGGAAGGCCCAGACAGCCAGGAUGUUGGCUUAGAAGCAGCCAUCAUUUAAAGAAAGCGUAAUAGCUCACUGGUCGAGUCGGCCUGCGCGGAAGAUGUAACGGGGCUAAACCAUGCACCGAAGCUGCGGCAGCGACGCUGAUGCGUUGUUGGGUAGGGGAGCGUUCUGUAAGCCUGUGAAGGUGUGCUGUGAGGCAUGCUGGAGGUAUCAGAAGUGCGAAUGCUGACAUAAGUAACGAUAAAGCGGGUGAAAAGCCCGCUCGCCGGAAGACCAAGGGUUCCUGUCCAACGUUAAUCGGGGCAGGGUGAGUCGACCCCUAAGGCGAGGCCGAAAGGCGUAGUCGAUGGGAAACAGGUUAAUAUUCCUGUACUUGGUGUUACUGCGAAGGGGGGACGGAGAAGGCUAUGUUGGCCGGGCGACGGUUGUCCCGGUUUAAGCGUGUAGGCUGGUUUUCCAGGCAAAUCCGGAAAACUAAGGCUGAGGCGUGAUGACGAGGCACUACGGUGCUGAAGCAACAAAUGCCCUGCUUCCAGGAAAAGCCUCUAAGCAUCAGGUAACAUCAAAUCGUACCCCAAACCGACACAGGUGGUCAGGUAGAGAAUACCAAGGCGCUUGAGAGAACUCGGGUGAAGGAACUAGGCAAAAUGGUGCCGUAACUUCGGGAGAAGGCACGCUGAUAUGUAGGUGAAGUCCCUCGCGGAUGGAGCUGAAAUCAGUCGAAGAUACCAGCUGGCUGCAACUGUUUAUUAAAAACACAGCACUGUGCAAACACGAAAGUGGACGUAUACGGUGUGACGCCUGCCCGGUGCCGGAAGGUUAAUUGAUGGGGUCAGCGCAAGCGAAGCUCUUGAUCGAAGCCCCGGUAAACGGCGGCCGUAACUAUAACGGUCCUAAGGUAGCGAAAUUCCUUGUCGGGUAAGUUCCGACCUGCACGAAUGGCGUAAUGAUGGCCAGGCUGUCUCCACCCGAGACUCAGUGAAAUUGAACUCGCUGUGAAGAUGCAGUGUACCCGCGGCAAGACGGAAAGACCCCGUGAACCUUUACUAUAGCUUGACACUGAACAUUGAGCCUUGAUGUGUAGGAUAGGUGGGAGGCUUUGAAGUGUGGACGCCAGUCUGCAUGGAGCCGACCUUGAAAUACCACCCUUUAAUGUUUGAUGUUCUAACGUUGACCCGUAAUCCGGGUUGCGGACAGUGUCUGGUGGGUAGUUUGACUGGGGCGGUCUCCUCCUAAAGAGUAACGGAGGAGCACGAAGGUUGGCUAAUCCUGGUCGGACAUCAGGAGGUUAGUGCAAUGGCAUAAGCCAGCUUGACUGCGAGCGUGACGGCGCGAGCAGGUGCGAAAGCAGGUCAUAGUGAUCCGGUGGUUCUGAAUGGAAGGGCCAUCGCUCAACGGAUAAAAGGUACUCCGGGGAUAACAGGCUGAUACCGCCCAAGAGUUCAUAUCGACGGCGGUGUUUGGCACCUCGAUGUCGGCUCAUCACAUCCUGGGGCUGAAGUAGGUCCCAAGGGUAUGGCUGUUCGCCAUUUAAAGUGGUACGCGAGCUGGGUUUAGAACGUCGUGAGACAGUUCGGUCCCUAUCUGCCGUGGGCGCUGGAGAACUGAGGGGGGCUGCUCCUAGUACGAGAGGACCGGAGUGGACGCAUCACUGGUGUUCGGGUUGUCAUGCCAAUGGCACUGCCCGGUAGCUAAAUGCGGAAGAGAUAAGUGCUGAAAGCAUCUAAGCACGAAACUUGCCCCGAGAUGAGUUCUCCCUGACUCCUUGAGAGUCCUGAAGGAACGUUGAAG